rnacentral:rRNA from 1 species
GAACGGGUCCUUUCGGGGAUUAGUGGCGGACGGGUGAGUAACGCGUGAGAAUCUGCCUUCAGGUUCGGGACAACAGCUGGAAACGGCUGCUAAUACCGGAUGUGCCGAGAGGUGAAAGCUUAAGUGCCUGGAGAUGAGCUCGCGUCUGAUUAGCUAGUAGGAGUGGUAAUGGCACCCCUAGGCGACGAUCAGUAGCUGGUCUGAGAGGAUGAUCAGCCACACUGGGACUGAGACACGGCCCAGACUCCUACGGGAGGCAGCAGUGGGGAAUUUUCCGCAAUGGGCGAAAGCCUGACGGAGCAAUACCGCGUGAGGGAGGAAGGCUCUUGGGUUGUAAACCUCUUUUCUCAAGGAAGAACACAAUGACGGUACUUGAGGAAUAAGCAUCGGCUAACUCCGUGCCAGCAGCCGCGGUAAUACGGAGGAUGCAAGCGUUAUCCGGAAUGAUUGGGCGUAAAGCGUCCGCAGGUGGCUAUGUAAGUCUGCUGUUAAAUAGUGAGGCUCAACCUCAUAAAGGCAGUGGAAACUACAUGGCUAGAGUGCGUUCGGGGCAGAGGGAAUUCCUGGUGUAGCGGUGAAAUGCGUAGAGAUCAGGAAGAACACCGGUGGCGAAAGCGCUCUGCUAGGCCGCAACUGACACUGAGGGACGAAAGCUAGGGGAGCGAAUGGGAUUAGAUACCCCAGUAGUCCUAGCCGUAAACGAUGGAUACUAGGCGUGGCUUGUAUCGACCCGAGCCGUGCCGAAGC